UCCGUUAAAAGCUUUGGAUAAUAUUUAGCCAGAUCUAAAGAAUUAUUCUUAAUGAUGGGAUUUCCUCUUUGAGGAACAGCCACAAAAAACGAAGAAGAAAAUUUAGUUCUGUGUGAAAAAUUAAAAACAGCCGUUUAAUGGAACGACCGAUAAUUUCUUCAACUAUAGCACAAAUCAUAACUGUAGAAACCUACCAAAAAUACUAAUUCGCCUUCAAGUGCUGGCACAAUGUCAAACUACCAAGGCGAAUUCAGAUAAGGUGGCGGCAGUUCUGCAAUAACAACAUUUUACAUGUAUUUUGUUUUUGCAUUUGGUUUACG